rnacentral:misc_RNA from 1 species
UUACUUGAUACAAUAAUGUAUAAAGAAGUUGGCCAUGGACAUCUCAUUGCUUGCUUUGCUGGACCUCAAAUUGCUUAUAGAAACAAAACUGAUUUGGGAUGAGAUUACAUACUCACAUGGACCACUUUGUUUGCCACCCAAAACCAAAAUCCAGCUCUGAGCUUCCAAUUGUAAGAGUAAGAGUUGGAGUCUCCCCAUUGUUUGUGUAUGCAUACCAG